AGCGAACGCUGGCGGCAGGCUUAACACAUGCAAGUCGAGCGGGCCUUUCGGGCUCAGCGGCGGACGGGUGAGUAACGCGUGGGAACGUGCCCUCUGGUUCGGAAUAACUCAGGGAAACUUGAGCUAAUACCGGAUACGCCCUUUUGGGGAAAGACUUGCUGCCGGAGGAUCGGCCCGCGUCUGAUUAGCUAGUUGGUGAGGUAACGGCUCACCAAGGCGACGAUCAGUAGCUGGUCUGAGAGGAUGAUCAGCACACUGGGACUGAGACACGGCCCAGACUCGUACGGGAAGCAGCAGUGGGGAAUAUUGGACAAUGGGCGCAAGCCUGAUCCAGCCAUGCCGCGUGAGUGAUGAAGGCCUUAGGGUUGUAAAGCUCUUUUAUCCGGGACGAUAAUGACGGUACCGGAGGAAUAAGCCCCGGCUAACUUCGUG
rnacentral:rRNA from 1 species